rnacentral:rRNA from 1 species
CUAAGAAUCUUCUACAAUGGACGAAAGUCUGAUAGAGCGACGCCGCGUGGGUGAUGAAGGCCGGAAGGUUGUAAAGCCCUUUUCUAUUCGAGGAAUAACCUUUGGAGGCAAUGCCAGAGGGAUGACGGUAGGGUAGGAAUAAGCCCCGGCCAAUUACGUGCCAGCAGCCGCGGUAACACGUAUGGGGCGAGCGUUGUUCGGAAUCAUUGGGCGUAAAGGGCGCGUAGGCGGAUAUGCAAGCUUGGUGUGAAAGACCGCAGCUCAACUGCGGGAGCGCGCUGAGAACUGCAUAUCUUGAGUUCAAGAGGGGAAGCUGGAAUUCCAGGUGUAGGGGUGAAAUCUGUAGAUAUCUGGAAGAACAUCAGUGGCGAAGGCGAGCUUCUGGCUUUGAACUGACGCUGAGGCGCGAAAGCGUGGGGAGCGAACA